UACGUUACACGGUCACACUCGUGCAACCUCCUCAUAAAUUGACAAAUUAAAAAAAAGUUGACAAUUUUUUCGGGAAACAUGAAUUUAAAGGCGGAAUUUGCUCUGUGUUUUUUGCUGGGAGUCGUGGCCAGCAGUUGGGGAUUCUUGGAGCAUGACAGCUGGAUUACGGUGGAGCUCCUGCACUCGCUAGCCAACUCGGAUAGUUUUUCCUUUCGUGGAAACGUGACCAUUCCCAGCCUAAACUCCGGGUUGGCCAAUGUCGAGCAACCAGCUUUGAGCAAUGCCGAGCUGGACAUGCUGAAGAAACUCGCUUUGCAAAAUGAGUUUUACCGCUUAAAGGCCACGGUGGUAUACUCAAAUGGAGCCAAGGCGCAGUUCAUCACUUCCAACAAGGCCUGUCGCCUGCUGCAAGCGCAACUCAAUGACGUGCUUUGGGUGUCCCUUGAUCCCUCCGGAUACGUUACCGGCAUCACUGUCUCCCAGGACACAGCUCCCGCCACCGUUGAGUGCACCCAGGAAGACGUAAGUAAGCUGGUUGAAUCGCAAUUUAGCACCGACGUUUUGAUCCGCCAUGCUGAAUUGGCUCCCGUACCGGAUACUGCUGGCUUCAUUCAGAAAGUGGAGCGGGAACGCGAGGCCAGGGAGCGCGGCGAAGUUCGCGAUAACCGGGGUUUCUUCGCCAAAUACUGGAUGUACAUCGUUCCUGUGGUUCUGUUGGUCUUUAUUUCGGGAGCCACCAACCAGGACGGAGCCAAAUAGGUUUACCUGUCUUAAUUUGGUUCACAUUUUUGUUUGUUAGCAUAUUCUAAUUAAAUUCCUAGAAAAUUCUGGAUUUACCAAGUCAUCAUAACUAUUAAAGCACAUGUGCCUUUUGGUUUCAGGUCUGUGUGUUGGUACUGCCAUUUCGAAAACAAAAAAAUAUUCUUUUUUGAAAAGUGCUUUUUAAGGUCAAUAAAACUCACACCAAAAGUA